rnacentral:rRNA from 1 species
AUUGAACGCUGGCGGCAUGCCUUACACAUGCAAGUCGAACGGCAGCACGGGGGCAACCCUGGUGGCGAGUGGCGAACGGGUGAGUAAUGCAUCGGAACGUGCCCCGUACGCGGGGGAGUAACCAGUCGAAAGACUGGCUAAUACCGCAUACGCUCCACGGAGGAAAGACAGGGGAGUCGCAAGACCUUGCACUAUGGGAGCGGCCGAUGCCCGACUUAGCUAGUUGGUGAGGUAAAGGACUCACCAAGGCGACGAUCGGUAGCUGGUUUGUAGAGAACGACCAGCCACACUGAGACUGAGACACGGCCCACGACUCCUACGGGAGGCGAGCAGUGGGGUAAGUUUUGGUACAAUGGGCGCAAGCCUGAUCCAGCCAUGCCGCGUGCGGGAUGAAGGCCUCGGUU